rnacentral:rRNA from 1 species
UACAGAGGGUGCGAGCGUCAAUCGGAAUUACUGGGCGUAAAGCGCACGUAGGUGGCGACGUAAGUCGGGUGUGAAAGCCCCGGGCUCAACCUGGGAAUUGCAUUCGAGACUGCAUUGCUGGAGUACGGAAGGAGGAGGGCGGAAUUCCCGGUGUAGCGGUGAAAUGCGUAGAUAUCGGGAGGAACAUCAGUGGCGGAAGGCGGCCCUCUGGUCCAGUACUGACACUCAAGUGCGAAAGCAUGGGGAGCAAACAGG